AUUGAACGCUGGCGGCAGGCUUAACACAUGCAAGUCGAGCGGAGUGAUGGUGCUUGCACUAUCACUUAGCGGCGGACGGGUGAGUAAUGCUUAGGAAUCUGCCUAUUAGUGGGGGACAACAUCUCGAAAGGGAUGCUAAUACCGCAUACGUCCUACGGGAGAAAGCAGGGGAUCACUUGUGACCUUGCGCUAAUAGAUGAGCCUAAGUGGGAUUAGCUAGUUGGUGGGGUAAAGGCCUACCAAGGCGACGAUCUGUAGCGGGUCUGAGAGGAUGAUCCGCCACACUGGGACUGAGACACGGGCCAGACUCCUACGGGAGGCAGCAGUGGGGAAUAUUGGACAAUGGGGGGAACCCUGAUCUAGCCAUGCCGCGUGUGUGAAGAAGGCCUUAUGGUUGUAAAGCACUUUAAGCGAGGAGGAGGCUCUUUUGGUUAAUACCCAAGAUGAGUGGACGUUACUCGCAGAAUAAGCACCGGCUAACUCUGUGCCAGCAGCCGCCGUAA
rnacentral:rRNA from 1 species